UUUUAUUUGGUAAGUGGAUAAUGCGUCAGACUUAGGAUCUGAAGAUUGCGGGUUCGAGUACCGAUUGAAAU